rnacentral:rRNA from 1 species
AGUGGCGGACGGGUGAGUAACGCGUAGGAACGUGCCCUGUUGUGGGGGAUAACUAGUCGAAAGAUUAGCUAAUACCGCAUACGACCUGAGGGUGAAAGCGGGGGACCGUAAGGCCUCGCGCAAUAGGAGCGGCCGAUGUCUGAUUAGCUAGUUGGUGGGGUAAAGGCCCACCAAGGCGACGAUCAGUAGCUGGUCUGAGAGGACGAUCAGCCACACUGGGACUGAGACACGGCCCAGACUCCUACGGGAGGCAGCAGUGGGGAAUUUUGGACAAUGGGGGCAACCCUGAUCCAGCAAUGCCGCGUGUGUGAAGAAGGCCUUCGGGUUGUAAAGCACUUUUGUCCGGAAAGAAAUCGCUCUGGCUAAUACCUGGGGUGGAUGACGGUACCGGAAGAAUAAGCACCGGCUAACUACGUGCCAGCAGCCGCGGUAAUACGUAGGGUGCGAGCGUUAAUCGGAAUUACUGGGCGUAAAGCGUGCGCAGGCGGUUUUGUAAGACAGGCGUGAAAUCCCCGGGCUCAACCUGGGAAUUGCGCUUG